rnacentral:ncRNA from 2 species
AAAAAUAAAAAAAUUAUUACUCGUAUAAUCGUGGUGAUAUGGACCACAAGUUUCUACCGGGCUACCGUAAAUAGCCUGACUAUGAGUGAAGAUUAGCAUUGU